GCUUGUGGCCGUACCAGCCUCAUCCAAUCUCGGAAGCAAAGCUGGAUGGUCCUGGUUAUUACAUGGAUGAGAGGGAUCACCUGGGAAUACCAGGGCUGUUGACA
rnacentral:rRNA from 12 species